GUUGAAGAACGCAGCGAAAUGCGAUAAGUAAUGUGAAUUGCAGAAUUCAGUGAAUCAUCGAAUCUUUGAACGCACCUUGCGCUCUUUGGUAUUCCGAAGAGCAUGCCUGUUUGAGUGUCAUGAAAAUAUCAACCUUGACUUGGGUUUUGUGCUCUAGUCUCGGCUUGGAAUUGGGUGCUUGCCGCUUUUACGAGCGGCUCACCUUAAAUGUAUUAGCUGGAUCUGUCUUUGAGACUUGGUUUGACUUGGCGUAAUAAGUAUUUCGCUAAGGACAUUCUUCGGAGUGGCCUCGUUUCUAGGACGCUUGUCCGCUUUCCAAUACAAGUUCCACCUCGUGGACAUGACUUUUUAUUAUCUGGCCUCAAAUCAGGUAGGACUACCCGCUGAACUUAAGCAUAUCAAUAAGCGGAGGA
rnacentral:misc_RNA from 1 species